GCUACGGGUGGCAGCAGUGGGGAAUAUUGCACAAUGGGGGAAACCCUGAUGCAGCGACGCCGCGUGAGUGAAGAAGUAUCUCGGUACGUAAAGCUCUAUCAGCAGGGAAGAAAAUGACGGUACCUGACUAAGAAGCCCCGGCUAACUACGUGCCAGCAGCCGCGGUAAUACGUAGGGGGCAAGCGUUAUCCGGAUUUACUGGUUGGAAAGGGAGCGUAGACGGCAGCACAAGUCUGGAGUGAAAUCCCGGGGCUUAACACCGGAACUGCUUUGGAAACUGUGCGGCUGGAGUGCAGGAGGGGUAAGCGGAAUUCCUAGUGUAGCGGUGAAAUGCGUAGAUAUUAGGAGGAACACCGGUGGCGAAGGCGGCUUACUGGACUGUAACUGACGUUGAGGCUCGAAAGCGUGGGGAGCAAACAGGAUUAGAUACCCCUGUAGUC
rnacentral:rRNA from 1 species